AAAAACUAGAAGGGACCUUAGAGGCCUUCUGGUGCAGUCUUCUCAUUUGAAAGAGGAAGAAAAUGAUGCCCCCAAAGAGGAAGCGAAAAGCCCAGAGUUCAACAUCAAGUUACUGGAAAUGGUCCCCUCCAGGUCUGACGUUCUAUGUGUCCUAAGCUAGAAGGGGCUUCAAGGAUCAUCUAGUCCAGGGGUUUUUAACUUGGAGCUCACGGAUUCCUAGAGGUCUCCUUAUCUUGCCCAGGCUGAAAGUGCAGUGGUCCCUCAUGGGACCAUCCCUCUGCUAAUUAGCAGAGAAGCUUUGAUCUGCUCCAUUUCCAACCUGGGCUAGUUUAACGCUCCUUAGACAGCCUUAGGGCAGCAAGAUGGUGGAGUGGAUAGAAU